AGAUGAACUCAUCAGAAGCAUCCUAAUCAGAGAAAUUAACAAAUUCAUUCACUCAUGCAGAUAAAAGCAUCAACUUGCUGACAGCAUAUCCUGCUUACAUUCAGUGUUCAUCUAGAGUUCUAGACUAAGGAGAUGGAUUAAAAGGGGGGACAUAAACCGAAGUCUUCCAGCACAAACAUCAGUACAUAAUAUAAACCGGAGUCUUAGACCUCACUGUUGGUCAAACUCAACUUGCUGACAGCAUAUCCUGCUUACAAUCAUACUAAUGCAGACAUAUGAAACCACAUCAGCACAAUCUUGAACAUCCGCCAUCCAACCCCAGGUGUAGAUCGCCCAAGCAAGACCAAAACGACUAGCAAGCAAGCUCAGAUCUGCAUAAAUGCAUUUCGUUAGAAAACUGAAGCAACUGCAGUUGAUGCAAUGGGAAAUUUCCCUAUCCCAAUUUCUUAGGAAGGACCCAUGUGCUAAACCACAGAGUACAACAUAGCUUAAGAAGAAAGGUGCACCCGCUGCUCAUUUUGCAGUUUGGAAGCAAUAUACACAAAAAUUGGCAGACCAUAACAAGGUGAACCCUAUCUGUUCUUGGAAACAGAACAUGGCAAAUAAUGUUCAGAGCCUUCAAACAUCAACUUACAGGUUAUGCAACAUUCUUGUUUUGAAUAUCUUCAUUCAACUGAAUGAACAAUGUGUAGUAAGUGCUAAGUAUGACUAACGAUGUACUCCUACAUAAAGAUGCAAGUGCGAAAGCCAUCUUCUCUCCAAAGAUAUGGAGCAAUAAAAACCAGCUGUCGAAGCUAGUCUGUAAUUUUUCUUCUCAGCUAGCAUUCUCAAUCACAUACAUGGGAGUUAAACAUGCAUGCAGAUAGACAAUAAAAAAACCAUGAAUUGACUACUUGUCCUAGCUAGUUUGACAAGGUAGUCAAGCCUCCGUAAAAAAACAACGUAGUCAAGCCCAAUAGAACAAUAAUUAACUUUCUAUAUAACCAUGGGAAUCUUUCCUAUUUGCAAAAUUACAGAGUAAAAUAUAGCUUAAGAACAAAGGAGCAAAAGCUUAUUCGUGCUUCCCAAGAAUCCUAUAGCCAUCUUAUUGCAGUGAAGACCAUAACAUGUUAACUCUGCUCUGGAAAACAGAACAAGGUAAAUAAAGAGUACUAAGACAUCAGCUUAAAACCAUCAAUUAGGUACCUCUCCUAGCUAGUUUCACAAGGUAGCCAGGCCCAAUAGAACAAUAACUAAUUUUCAACAUAAUCAUGUGAGCAGAACAAGCAAUGCAUGAACCCAAUGGCAAUAUUUAGGCUUACCAGUUCAUCAGAUAGUUGGUUCUGAUAACAGCGGUGGGAAGCUAAAGUAUGGGAGGGCACGUGUGGGAUUGAAGGUAUUCUCCAUCUUUGUGCGGACUUUGGUAAUUUCAUAAGUCUUGACCUCCAUUGAGUAGCAAUCCACAUUCCCAACAUGAAUACCUUCUGGAGAGCCUCGGAAGAACAAGAAUCCCUCGGCUGCACGCAUUGUGCAAAUGGAAUGAUACUGCCCAGGAAGCUGUAUGAUCUUCUCUAGCUUCCACUGCUGCGAACUAUUCUUCAGAGAGGUAUGGUAGAGGGCAAAGGAUCCAUGUUGACCGACAAGGGAAAACAUCUCAAGGACUCCUUCUCGGCCCAUCACAACGGCAUUUGCGUGACGAUGGGCAAAGCACUCGUCAGGCAGAUCGCUGAGCUCCAGAUGGUAGCCGGUGAGAAGGUCGACAGUGGAAAACCUCAAAGUGCGUGUGUCCAGCACCAUCAAAUGGUCACUCUAGCCAUAAGGCCGUGUCCAGUAGAAGCAGCAGCGCACGCAGUCAAAACAGGACAUGCGUUCCAACGAAGGUGAGGUGGGAGGCUCGAGCAUAGACCAUUGCAUAGUUGUGGCCGGGAGCACAAAGAGGACAAGCUUCAUCAUGUAUCUUGCUAUGCAUAUCACCUUGAAGGGCUCUUCCUCGCCGUCGUCCCUGGUGUUGGGAGCAAGCACGGGCCCGAAUCCAUGGAGGCGAUCCUGCGGUUGGGCGGCGAGGUCCUCAGGUAUGGUUGGAAGCAAGACGUAUCUGCUGGACAGCGGGUCACAGACGGCGAGGUGGAAGUCGGCAGCGUUGCACCGCUCCCGUUUGGUCCACGUCGGGUGGUCACAGCGUUCUUCGUCACCGAGCUCCCUGGAGUCCAUGAGGAUGCUUGUGGAUCGGUACAGAGGGAGAGCAAAGCACCUUAAGUGCUGCCAUUGCCAUUGCCAAGAAUAUAUAGGCGCAGGGCGCCAGUACAACAGGGGCGCGGAGCGCCAGUACAACAGAGAGAGAGAGAGCGUAGCUCUAGUACGUGCAUGGGAUCGUGGGUAGAUGCAUGCAGUACGUGGGAGAGUGGAGAGAACUGCUAACACCCCGCCGCAGUUUGAGCGUCCGGCGGCCAGACGCACAAGCUGGACCGGAAAUCUUGAAACGCCGCCGUGGGCAGUCCUUUGGUGAGCACGUCGGCGAAUUGUUGGGAGGUUGGCACAUGGAGAACACGCAGCUCACCCAACGCCACUUUCUCGCACACAAACUGGAUGUCGAGCUCGAUGUGCUUGGUCCGGCGAUGGUGGACGGGGUUGGCCGCCAUGUAGACGGACGAGAUGUUGUCGCAGAAGAUGACGCUGGCGCGAGGUAGAGGUACAGCGAGCUCGCCAAGAAGUUGACGGAUCCAGCAGCUCUCAGCGACCGCGUUCGCAACUGCGCGGUAUUCUGCCUCGGCGCUCGAGCGAGACACCGUCGCCUAUCGUUUGGAGGACCAUGAUACAAGCGAGUCGCCGAGGUACACAGCGUAGCCGGACGUCGAUCGGCGCAUGUCUGGGCAGCCGGCCCAGUCUGCGUCGGAGUAGGCGACGAGGUCGAGGGAGCCGGACCGUCGGAGAUGGAGCCCAUGCGAUGUGGUGCCGUGUAGGUAGCGCAGGAUGCGCUUGGCCAGCGCACGGUGGACGUCGCGGGGGUCAUGCAUCACCAGACAGCACUGUUGGACGGCAUAGGCGAUGUCGGGCCGAGUCAUGGUCAUGUACUAGAGGGCACCGACGAUGCUGCGGUACUCGGAGGCAUCGGAGACGGGGGCACCAUCACUGGCGGACAGCUUGGCGCGCGUGUCGACUGGCGUGGGCGCCGGCUUGCAGCCCUGCAUGUUGGCGCGCUCGAGUAGUUCGUCGGCGUACUUGCUCUGGGAGAGGAAGAAGCCAUCCGCGGUGUGAGUGACGGCGAUCCCGACGAAGUAGUGUAGAGGCCCGAGGUCUUUCAUGGAGAACUCGGUCGACAAGAGCUGCUGGAGGUGUCGAAGAAGCGCCAGCGUCGAGGCGGUGAGCACAAUGUCGUCAACGUACAACAGUAGAUAUGCAGUGCCGGCGUCGGAGUGGAGCACGAAGAGCGACGGAUCCGCCCGCGAACUGGUGAAGCCGAGGCUGUGGACGAAGGUGGCGAACCGCCCAAACCACGCCCGCGGCGCCUGCUUGAGCCCAUUGAGGGACUUGUCCAGCAGACACACGUGCUCAGGUCGGUCCGUGUCGACGAAGCCGGCCGGCUGCUGGCAGUAGACCUGCUCAGAGAGAUGCCCGUGGAGGAACGCGUUGUUGACGUCCAUCUGGUGCACUGGCCACUGGCGCGUGGCGGCGAUGGUGAGCACGACGCGGAUGGUGGCCGCCUUGACCACCGGAGAGAAUGUCUCGUCGAAGUCGACGCCGGGGCGCUACGAGAAGCCGCGCACCACCCAGCGUGCCUUGUAGCGUUCGAGCGAGCCGUCGGACUUGAGCUUGUGGCGGAAGAGCCAUUUGCCGGUGACGAUGUUGGCGCCGCGAGGCUGAGGGACGAGGCGCCACAUCCGGUUCUCCAUGAGAGCCCUGUAUUCUACCUGCAUAGCAGAAAGCCAACAAGGAUCUCGCAUAGCCUCACGCGUGGUUUUGGGGAUGGGUGAGAUGGUGGAGGGAGUAGUAGCGACGUGGUGAUGUGCAUACUUGGGAUUGAGGAAGAAUUUGCCAGCCUGAGCUCUUGUCUGCAUUGUGUGUGUAGGUACAAGAGGGGAUUGGUGUCGUGGUGCCUGUGGUGGCGAGGGGGGGUGACCGUGGCAGACUGUGGUGGUGACUGGGCUGGCGGGGAGGCGUUCGGCAUGACAUGGUGUGGGGUGGGAGGGGCUGGCGCGGUAGGGCAGUCGGACGGGGAUUGGGAGGCAGGCGUGGUAUCGGUGGCGGCCGGGGCAUACGCGAGCGCUGGUGAGGGCUGGGAACGAGGUCGCGUGGGUAUGGUAGGGAGUGCGUCGAGGUGAUCAGCGACCGGUGCGGGGCUUGUAUGUUCUGCGUGAAAGGGAAAGUUAUGUUCAUCGAAGACGACAUGGCGAAAUGUGAUAACGCGGCCAGUGGCACGGUUGAGACAUCGGUAGCCUUUGUGGUCUGCGGUGUACCCUAGGAAGACGCAGGGGGCCGAGCGAGGCGCGAGUUUAUGGGGUGCGGUGGCUUCUAGGUUUGGAAAACACAGACAACCGAAGACACGCAGGGUGGUGUAGGUGGGGUGAACACCAUAGAGUAGGAAGAAAGGUGUUUGGUUGUGGCGCGGCCGGCACGAACGUCGGUUGAGGAGGAAGGUGACGGUAUUGAGGGCUUCGGCCAAGUAGGGAUACGACAUAUGUGCGUGAAUAAGAAGUGAUCUGGCGAUGUCAUUGAGUGUCUGGAGUAUGCGCUCGGCGCGUCUGUUCUAUGGCGAUGUGUAGGGACAUGAUAAGCGGAGCACUAUGCCUAGUGAGGAGAAGAAUUGGCGCGAUGCAUGAUUGUCGAACUCCUUGCCAUUAUCAGUUUGGAUAGUAAGGAUGGAUAGACGAAAGUGGUUGUGUAUGAAUGUAGUGAAGGCGCGGAUAGUGGGUAGCACAUCAGACUUGUGGCGAAGCUGGAACGUCCAUACAAAGUGACUAUAAUCAUCGAGGAGGACCAGGUAAUACUGAUAACCAGAUAUGCUAAGCACUGGAGAUGUCCUGUGACGCCCCUGAUUCAAUCGUACACUAAUCAUACACGCAAACGUGUACGAUCAAGAUCAGGGACUCACGGGAAGAUAUCACAACACAACUCUACAAAUAAAAUAAGUCAUACAAGCAUCAUAUUACAAGCCAGGGGCCUCGAGGGCUCGAAUACCAGAGCUCGAUCAUAGACGAGUCAGCGGAAGCAACAAUAUCUGAGUACAGACAUAAGUUAAACAAGUUUGCCUUAAGAAGGCUAGCACAAACUGGGAUACAGAUCGAAAGAGGCGUAGGCCUCCUGCCUGGGAUCCUCCUAAACUACUCCUGGUCGUCGUCAGCGGGCUGCACGUAGUAGUAGGCACCUCCCGAGUAGUAGUAGUCAUCGUCGACGGUGUCGUCUGGCUCCUGGGCUCCAACGUCUGGUCGCAACAAUCGAGUAUAGAAAGGGGGAAAAGGGGGAGCAAAGCAACCGUGAGUACUCAUCCAAAGUACUCGCAAGCAAGGAACUACACUACAUAUGUAUGCAUUGGUAUCAAAUGGAAAAGGCUAUCAUAUGUGGACUGAACUGCAGAAUGCCGGAAUAAGAGGGGGAUAGCUAGUCCUAUCGAAGACUACGCUUCUGGUAACCUCCAUCUUGCAGUAGGAGAAGAGAGUAGAUGGUAAGUUCACCAAGUAGCAUCGCAUAGCAUAACCCUAACCGAUGAUCCUCCCCUCGUCGCCCUGUGAGAGAGCGACCACCGGUUGUAUCUGGCACUUGGAAGGGUGUGUUUUAUUAAGUAUCUGGUUCUAGUUGUCAUAAGGUCAAGGUACAACUCCAAGUCGUCCUGUUACCGAAGAUCACGGCUAUUCGAAUAGAUUAACUUCCCUGCAGGGGUGCACCACAUAACCCAACACGCUCGAUCCCAUUUGGCCGGACACACUUUUCUGGGUCAUGUCCGGCCUCGGAAGAUCAACACGUCGCAACCCUACCUAGGCACAUCAGAGAGGUCAGCACGCCGGUCUAAAUCCAAUGGCGCAGGGGUCUGGGCCCAUCACCCAUUGCACACCUGCACGUUGCGAGGGCGGCCGGAAGCAGAACUAGCCACCUUAAUACAAGAGCAAGCUUACGUUCCAAUCCAGCGCGCGCCGCUCAGUCGCUGGUGUCACGAAGGCUUCGGCUGAUACCACGACGUCGAGUGCCCAUAACUGUCCCCGCGUAGCUGGUUAGUGCGUAUAGGUCAAUGGCCAGACUCAGAUCAAAUACCAAGAUCUCGUUAAAUGUGUUAUCUUGAAAUAACCGCGAACGCCGACCAGGGCCAGGCCCACCUCUCUCCUAGGUGGUCUCAACCUGCCCUGUCGCUCCGCCUCAAAGUAACAGCCUGGGGCCGUCGGGAACCCAGGCCCACCACUACCUGGGUGGAACCACCUGCCCCUUCAGCCCCCAUCUCCAAACAGUAUCAACGGUAAUGUAAAUAGUGUAAAGUAUAUAGUAUAUGCCCGUGAUCACCUCCCGAAGUGAUCACAGCCCAAUAGUAUAGCAUGGCAGACGGACAAGAGUGUAGGGCCACUGAUGAUAAUCUAGCAUCCUAUACUAAGAAUUUAGGAUUGCAGGUAAGGUAUCAACAGUUGUAGCAACAAUGACAGGCUAUGCAUCAGGAUAAGAUUAACGGAAAGCAGUAACAUGCUAUACUACUCUAAUGCAAGCAGUAUAGAGAAGAGUAGGCGAUAUCUGUGAUCAAGGGAGGGGCUUGCCUGGUUGCUCCGGCAAGAGAGAGGGGUCGUCAACUCCGUAGUCGUACUGGGUAGCAGCGGCGUCGGUCUCGGUGUCUAGCGAGAGAAGAGGGGGAAGAAACAAUAAAUAUUAAGCAAACAGAUGCAUAGCGAUGCAUGACAAAGCAAAGCGUGAUGCUAGGCGUGCCCUAACGCGGUAUGAGGUGAUACCGGUGAACGGGGGAAACAACCGGGAAAGUAUCCCUGGUGUUUCGCAUUUUCGGGCAGAGGAGCCGGAGGGGGGAAAGUUGCAAGUUCGGUAUGUUAGGGAUGUGUGGAGGACGAACGGGCUGCGUAUCCGGAUUCGUCUCGUCGUUCUGAGCAACUUUCAUGUUGAAAAUAAUUUAAUCCGAGUUACGGAUUAAAAGAUAUGAUUUUCUAAAGAUUUACUAAUUUCUGGAAUUUAAUUAAUCCUUUAAUUUAAUUCGAAAUUGGAUUAAUGACAUCAGCAUGAUGUCAUGUUGACAUCGGCAGUCAACAGGGAUUGACUAAGUCAAACUGACAGAUGGGGCCAUUAACUGGGUCAACAGCAUAGUCAGCAGGUCCAGUCAGCAGUCAACAGUCCUGUUGACUUAGCCAAGCUUAUGUGUGGGUCCCACUUGUAAUACUCUGUUAGUUAAUUAACAGUAGUUAAUUAGGUUAAUUAGUCAUUAGGUUAAUUAAUCCUAAUUAGUUUAAUUAACCAGAAUUAGUUAAGUUAAUUAAUUUAAUUAACUAAUUAAUAUUUUUAUUAUUUUCUUUUUAAUCUUAAUUUUUUUUGAAACGUUCCUGGGGCAGGGCCCCACAUGUCAUAGGGCCAUAGGCCAAACGGGUGCUGGCGCUACCGUUAACGGGCGUGUGGUCGCCCGACAGGGGCGAACCCGGGCGCUGGCUCGAGCGAGGCCAACGGCGGGCGGCCGCGGCACGACUGCACCGGCGUGGGGCGGUGGGUAGAACAGGGCGCGAGGAAGCAGAGUGAGGCUCAGGGCAGCGGCGGCCCAGGCAUGCGCAGCAAGGCAUCGAGCAGUGGGAGGGGGUGCGCGGCCCGCGAGCGAACGGUGCGAGAGCUCGGCGUGGCCGACAAGCAGGCGACGGAGCAAGCAAGCCAGCAGCAGCAGGGGCGGAGGGAGAGCAGCGGUGGCCGGAGCGCGCGGGCGAGCGCGUGGGACGGCGCGGGCNNNNNNNNNNNNNNNNNNNNNNNNNNNNNNNNNNNNNNNNNNNNNNNNNNNNNNNNNNNNNNNNNNNNNNNNNNNNNNNNNNNNNNNNNNNNNNNNNNNNNNNNNNNNNNNNNNNNNNNNNNNNNNNNNNNNNNNNNNNNNNNNNNNNNNNNNNNNNNNNNNNNNNNNNNNNNNNNNNNNNNNNNNNNNNNNNNNNNNNNNNNNNNNNNNNNNNNNNNNNNNNNNNNNNNNNNNNNNNNNNNNNNNNNNNNNNNNNNNNNNNNNNNNNNNNNNNNNNNNNNNNNNNNNNNNNNNNNNNNNNNNNNNNNNNNNNNNNNNNNNNNNNNNNNNNNNNNNNNNNNNNNNNNNNNNNNNNNNNNNNNNNNNNNNNNNNNNNNNNNNNNNNNNNNNNNNNNNNNNNNNNNNNNNNNNNNNNNNNNNNNNNNNNNNNNNNNNNNNNNNNNNNNNNNNNNNNNNNNNNNNNNNNNNNNNNNNNNNNNNNNNNNNNNNNNNNNNNNNNNNNNNNNNNNNNNNNNNNNNNNNNNNNNNNNNNNGUGGGGGGGGGAGUGGGUGUCGGUGGAGUGGGUUAUAGGGGUGAGGGGAUAAGGAGUGGGGUGGGUUGGCCGGUUGGGCCGGGGGUUGGCCCAGUGGGGCUGUGGCCUGCUGGGCCGGAGCCUAGUGGGGGGGAGCUCUCCCUUUUUUUAUUUGUUUUCUGUUUGGUAUUUUCUUUUUCAUUUAUUUAAUUUUCUGUUUUCUAUUUAGUCCCAGCUAUCAAAUAAAUUUUGUUGAAUACCAAACUUGCCACAUAAAUAUUGGGUCAUAUAAGGGAGCUGCACGCAAAGUUUCAAAACAUUUUGAAAAGGAUAAAUAUUUGCUUAUUUUUAAAUGGUUAAUUUAAAUGUUGUUUGCUCCUGUUUUAAAUAUCGUAGAGGCCUAUCAACAUUCUCAAUAAUGUUGCUUGAUGUUUGUUAAUUGAUUAGGGAAUACUUACAACCUUUUGAACAUUUUUAAUUCAUUGCUUUAUGAAAUUAUAAUUUGACUUGUUAUUUGAAUUUGAAUUUGAUCUCAGUUUGAAACAAGUGAGGUUGAUCAAAAGUUUAAUUAUGAUGACCUGGCAUGAUUAGCAAGGGUUUACUAUAGCUUAAUUACCCGGGCGUCACAAUUCUCCUCCACUACAAGAAAUCUCGUCCCGAGAUUUAAGAGGGGAGUAAGGGAAAGAUGUGGCUACGAAAUUCUAUCGAGUCUUCUCGGUCAUGGUUGCUCUUCUCGGAGAGGUCGAUCCAUUACAUUGAUGCCUUCAUUCCUCUGCUUCAGGUCAUCAUGAGGAAGUCAUCAUCCUUUUCUUCGGGAAUUCCAACGUACUUACGAAUAGGUAAGGGGCAGCUCGGCUACGACAACAUGCUUACGAGGGAAUCAAUCUGGGGUUAAUCAUGAAUGAGCAUAAGAUUCUCUCUCGAGUUGAACAUAUAAAAUACAUCGAGAGUACGAUACGAAGGUACAAUGAGAGGGUCCAAGCGGAUAGAUUGCUGCUCAAAGGCAGAACCAGAGUGAGAAAGGGGUUCAGAACGGCGAGAGUAAGCAUUGCGUCUGAUACCAGAAUAGAGCAGUAGGAAGGUGGCUCGCGAAUUACCUAUGAAGCCAAGCAUAAGGGAUAACUUUGAAGCAGGGAUGUAUAGGAGAGUCAGGUUUCGAUCCUGUGGAACUGUGGGUUAUGGGCCCACCAGGUGGGUUAAAAGUAGGAAGGGCGAUGACGUCUUGCACGAUCAUGUAAGCAAGGCAUGUCAGAGGAUAGCCUGUUAGUUAUGUCGGCAACAACCUCGGUACCAAGGGCGAGGGACGAAGAGAACCACUUUCCUGCUCGUUAGGACGAGGUGGACCAAUAGGCAAAGUUCUCGUCCAUCGGUGGUUACCGGAAUGUCAUCAACAAUAGUAACAGGGUCUUACUAAUAGAGUUGUACACCGAGGUGUUUACAUAAGCAGGAGGAUAUUGCUGCUUAGAUCAUAUAGAUCACCAGAAAGGUUAGACAUAACAAUGGAAAGAAAAAGGUGAUCAUCAGAUUAAACAGAACGAUGGAGAGGAAAAGGUGUUUAAACACAUUUUUCAGGGGUAUAUCCUUCACAAGGACAAGCAGAGCAUGAUAUCCAUGACAGGAUAUAACAUAGAAAACCAUUUGGGUAACGAGAGAGGAAGUUCAUGACAUUACCCAAUCAACGGUGUUUGAAUAAUUGAUAAAGGAGAUUUAGCAUGGUGCUUAAAAUGUUCUUAUCGAUGAUCAGAGUACCACAGACAUGCUUCGAGAUAUCAUUGACAUGGUCAUCAAGUAAGGUUCAGAAUUUGGAUGCACAAAGGAUCCAUCGGGAUAAACUUAUUAAACAAGGCAUUCAAUUUCCUCAUGGAAAAAUGGUGAACCUUGUUAAAAAGGAAACUAUAACACUUGGUCCUCCGGUCAGGUGUGCAUGACAUCACCUUACCGGGUCAUAUGAGGAUCAAUGUUAUAACUCUUGAAAAUAAGUUCCAACCAUCAUAUCUGACCGAGAUUCAGAUCUGAUUGGUAUCAAGAUAACUCAGACAUGGGAUCCCUAAAAAGAGAAGGCGCAACACAAAUUGACGAGAUGUCAUUGUAAGAUUCUUGGGAAAAGGACUAUGGAAGCGAGUUCCAAAACAAGGGUUCAUCAUUAAAACAAGGAGAGGGUGAGGAGGCAGCUGAUGAAUUUAGCGACAAUCCAUCGAGAUUUCCAAAAGAUGGAUUUCCACAAUUAUGUGAACAAGGAGAUAACAUUUGUCAGAUCAAAUGAUAUAACGAGGUAUGCUCGAGGAAAACAUACCCAAUUAAACAUUGGUUGAAAGGUGCACCCGUAAUAUGGGCUUAGGUAGCAUGACCGAUGUAAGAAUGGUGAUUGUAUAACCAAAGGUCUAAGAAUAAAAUGUCGACCAUUAACUUCAAAGCAAUAUGGUUGCUAGAAGUGUAGAAUCCAAGCAGCACCAUUCACCUGUUGGUAUCCCGGCUAGAAUCAACACGGGAACCAAGAAAGAAUGGUGAUGGGGAGAAGUAUAUCACUAUACCAAUAAUUCUUAAGAGGUGGAGCAAUUCUCACGACCUUAUUGACAUAUAAGAUAGUAAUACUCCAAGGUAAAGAAGAAGAAUUGCUGGAUAGCAAGGAUCUCAAAGUAUAGCACAAAACACGAAUAAGUUUGUGUUGGAGGGAAGUAAAUAAAGUGGUCGAUGAUAACACAGAUCAUCGAGGGCAAGGAUGGUAUUUCUCAUAAUGAACUCAAUUGACAUCCCGGAAGAGCUCAGAAUGCCGAUGAUGAUCACAACAUAAUUGUUGAGAGAUUUCAUGAAGAUGUAAUCGGUCGGCGAUGACAUCCAGCCAAAGGAAUGAUGAAGCGGAAGGUUAUUGAACCCAAGGGUAUGACACAAACUCAAAACCAAGCUCGUUGUUUAAGGCAAAAUGGUAUGAUGAGGAAGAUCGAUGUAAGCUUAGCUCAUCGUCGAAAGUUGUGCUUCGGGAAUAAGGUCUAGGUAGCACAGUUAAAAUCAUCACAGUAAGGAUAUAGCCAAAUAGGGUAGGAAGGACGUGAUCGGGUACAAACUCGUAAGCAAAGAAAAUUUAUAAUAGUUGUUGAACCGUAGGGUGGACUCGGUUCAGUUAUCGGUCUUUGAGUGUUUAAUAACUCAGAGCCCGUAUAAAAUUGGAAUCAGUGAGAAUGUAGUACUUGAUGAGGAACUCAUAAGAGGUUAUGUAGUACUUGAUAUUAUCGAGGUACCAUGGUGUAUUACUCGAUGGAAGAUCAAAGUAAAGGUUGGACUGGUGUAUUGAUCCACAGAAGACAAGUGCUUAAACUUGCCUGUGAAAUGGGGUCAAAGAAGAACAUAUGGUCGAAACCACGAUUGCAAAAAGUUCGGAUCCCGGGAUAUAAGAACUUAUACCAAGGGAAAAAUUAAUUUAAGAGAAGCUUUAAUGAUAAGAUCUACAUCGUGCCCAUGGGCAUGAACACAAAGUUCAAGGUCGACUCCCACUUCUUCAAUGCAUAACCUUUCAUUCACUGCUCUAGAUAAAAAUGAUUUCAGUGUCAAAACCUACCUAGUGAAUUACCAGAGGAGUAUGACCCGUGAAAACUUUCGGGUUCACACAUAUUAAGAAAGGCAUAGGUUCAACCCGUCAGGGUAUCGUGGAAACAUAUACCACAAGCUUCAAUCGUAAUUACCACCAGCUCGAAAACAGAGCAUGGUUGAGAAAACAGAGGAUACAAUUUACCAAAAGCAUUAUGUAUCCGAGGAAAGGAUCACAAGGUUAUUGAAUAAGGAGGACACUGUCGAAUAAUAAUCCAAUAAAGGAUCUGACGGUCCAUAGCGGAGCUGAUGUGAGCAUCGGCACACAGCCAGUUGAAGAAAGGAUGCAAGGGCAUCAGAUUAUAGGACACCUGAAUGAUUCGAUGCUUAGAUAUCAAAGGAAUUAUGAUUUCCAAAUAGAAGGAUCAAAAGCAGACGCUCUGAUCAAGGGUGGAUAAGUUCAAUAGACCUAAGGGUACAAUUGAUGGCAAACAGAUUGGUUGAGAACAAGAUCAUGUUCAAAAAUGACGUCUGAGUCAGAAAGACAACUUAAAAGGAUCAACUGAUGAUUGCGUGCAUUCACACUCAUGUUGAAUCAAUAGGAUCAAAAUGACGGUGUCUAAGGAUACUAACGGAUAUUGCCAGACAUAUGGAAAGCAUCCAUAAUGCAAGCAGACAAGUAUUGCAGAGCAAUAAGCUACUAAGGAUUUUUGGAGGAUCGAGUAGUAUUUCGAAGAUCAUUGUGAAACACAUGAACAACGGGGGAAUGAGCGGAUACUCGAUAAGUGCGAGAAUUAUCCAUAGGGGUAUUCAGAUGACAAAGAACAGCAAGGCAGUAAGCUCAAAGGAUUAUCGAAACAAUGACGUGUAUCUUGUAAUAACAAGACCAACCGGGGAUGAAUGUAAGAAUAACAACUGCAAGUAGUUAUCCAUAAGGGUUGACGGUGGAAGGGGAAUUGCAAACGCGAUGAACACAAGUUCUCGGGUUAACAGCGGAGAGUAUCUUCAGGGUCUUCACGUGCAGCAGACGAUCAUCAGUAAUAAGGGGCUCUCCGGGUGAAAGUGAUAACGAGAUCCUAAUGUUACAUUUAGCAAAAUUCAUUUAACCCAAAUAGAAGAGAGAUCAGAGUCCCAGAGUAUAGACAAGGGGUAAAAGAUCCUAAUACCACCCAAUGGCGACGUGGGCCUGUAAGGCGCACAACCAUGUUAGUAAAAGUUUUGUAACGACUAGACUCAACUUCCGCCAAGGAGUGUGGAAGGGGGAUUCCUACAGGCAGUUGGCUCUGAUACCAACUUGUGACGCCCCUGAUUCAAUCGUACACUAAUCAUACACGCAAACGUGUACGAUCAAGAUCAAGGACUCACGGGAAGAUAUCACAACACAACUCUACAAAUAAAAUAAGUCAUACAAGCAUCAUAUUACAAGCAAGGGGCCUCGAGGGCUCGAAUACCAGAGCUCGAUCAUAGAUGAGUCAGCGGAAGCAACAAUAUCUGAGUACAGACAUAAGUUAAACAAGUUUGCCUUAAGAAGGCUAACACAAACUGGGAUACAGAUCGAAAGAGGCUCAGGCCUCCUGCCUGGGAUCCUCCUAAACUUCUCCUGGUCGUCGUCAGCGAGCUGCACGUAGUAGUAGGCACCUCCCGACUAGUAGUAGUAGUAGUCGUCAACGGUGGCGUCUGGCUCCUGGGCUCCAACGCCUAGUCAUAGCAAUCGAGUAUAGAAAGGGGGAAAAGGGGGAGCAAAGCAACCGUGAGUACUCAUCCAAAGCAACAGCAGAUUAACUUCCCUGCAGGGGUGCACCACAAAACCCAACACGCUCGAUCCCAUUUGGCCGGACACACUUUUCUGGGUCAUGCCCGGCCUUGGAAGAUCAACACGUCGCAACCCUACCUAGGCACAUCAGAGAGGUGAGCAUGCCGGUGUAAAUCCUAUGGCGCAGGGGUCUGGGCCCAUCGCCCAUUGCACACCUACAUGUUGCGAGGGCGGCCGGAAGCAGAACUAGCCCCCUUAAUACAAGAGCAGGCUUACGUUCCAAUCCGGCGCGCGCCGCUCAGUCGCUGACGUCACGAAGACUUUGGCUGAUACCACGACGUCGAGUGCCCAUAACUGUCCCCGCGUAGCUGGUUAGUGCGUAUAGGUCAAUGGCCAGACUCAGAUCAAAUACCAAGAUCUGGUUAAAUGUGUUAUCUUGAAAUAACUGCGAACGCCGACCAGGGCCAGGCCCACCUCUCUCCUAGGUGGUCUCAACCUGCCCUAUCGCUCCGCCUCAAAGUAACAGCCUGGGGCCGUCGGGAACCCAGGCCCACCACUACCUGGGUGGAACCACCUGCCCCUUCAGCCCCCAUCUCCAAACAGUAUCACCGGUAAUGUAACAGUGUAAAGUAUAUAGUAUAUGCCCGUGAUCACCUCCUGAAGUGAUCACAACCCAAUAGUAUAGCAUGGUAGACGAACAAGAGUGUAGGGCCACUGAUGAUAAUCUAGCAUCCUAUACUAAGAAUUUAGGAUUGCAGGUAAGGUAUCAACAGUUGUAGCAACAAUGACAGGCUAUGCAUCAAGAUAGGAUUAACGGAAAGCAGUAACAUGCUACACUACUGUAAUGCAAGCAGUAUAGUGAAGAGUAGGCGAUAUCUGGUGAUCAAGGGAGGGGCUUGCCUGGUUGCUCUGGCAAGAGAGAAGGGUCGUCAACUCCGUAGUCGUACUGGGUAGCAGCGGCGUCGGUCUCGUUGUCUAACGAGAGAAGAGGGGGAAGAAACAAUAAAUAUUAAGCAAACAGAUGCAUAGCGAUGCAUGAAAAAGCAAAGCGUGAUGCUAGGCGUGCCCUAACGCGGUAUGAGGUGAUACCGGUGAAGGGGGGAAAGAACCGGGAAAGUAUCCCCAGUGUUUCGCGUUUUCGGGCAGAGGGCCGGAGUGGGAAAGUUGCGAGUUCGGUAUGUUAGGGAUGUGUGGUGGACGAACGGGCUGCGUAUCCGGAUUCGUCUUGUCGUUCUGAGCAACUUUCAUGUUGAAAAUAAUUUAAUCCGAGUUACGGAUUAAAAGAUAUGAUUUUCUAAAAAUUUACUAAUUUCUGGAAUUUAAUUAAUCCUUUAGUUUAAUUCAAAAUUGGAUUAAUGACAUCAGCAGUCAACAGGGAUUGACUAAGUCAAAUUGACAGAUGGGGCCAUUAACUGGGUCAACAGCACAGUCAGCAGGUCCAGUCAGCAGUCAACAGUCCUGUUGACUUAGUCAAACUUACGCGUGGGUCCCACUUGUAAUACUCUGUUAGUUAAUUAACAGUAGUUAAUUAGGUUAAUUAGUCAUUAGAUUAAUUAAUCCUAAUUAGUUAAAUUAACUAGAAUUAGUUAAGUUAAUUAAUUUAAUUAACUAAUUAAUAUUUUUAUUAUUUUCUUUUAAUCUUAAAUUUUUUUCGAAACGUUCCUAGGGCAGGGCCCCACAUGGCAUAGGGCCAUAGGCCAAACGGGUGCUGGCGCUACCGGUAACGGGCGUGUGGGCGCCCGACAGGGGCGAACCCGGGCGCUGGCUCGAGCGAGGCCAACGGCGGGAGGCAGCGGCACGACUGCGCCGGCGUGGGGCGGUGGGCAGAACAUGGCGCGGGGAAGCAGCGUGAGGCUCAGGGCAGCGGCGGCCCUGGCGUGCGUGGCAAGGCGCCCAGCAGCGGGAGGGGGUCGCGGCCCGCGAGUGAACGGCGCGAGAGCACUACAAGAAAUAUGUCAACUUAUGAUCACCACUAUUGGUCACUGAAUGGUGACAAAUUUCCAUUUAUGACCUUUUUGUGACAAAAAACAUAAGGUCAAAAGCUGGGCGUCGUAAACUGACUAUAGCGACCUUUAACAAAAGGUCGUUUAUCCUAUGACCUUCUGUUUUGGUCGCUAGCUCUCUCCCCAUGCCAUGUCGGAUCCGACGUGGCAAUCUGACAUGGCAAAAUUGCGACCAAUUGAAAAGGUUAAAAAUUAGAAUCGGCCCGGUCCAUUUCGGUGCUUUAGAUGGGCCGAGCCCAUUAAUUCAGCCUUUUUAAUAUAUAUUUUUCUGUUAACUUUCGCUAGGUACAUGGGCCUGGCCCAACAAUUUGGCCUUUUUAUUUUCUGGGCCGUGGCCUUUUAUAGUAUAUUUAUUUUCCAGUUUCAGCCAUUAUAUAUUCAAACUGGUCCCACUAGUCAGAUGGGUCCCACUUGUCAAUUUCAUCUAUCAAAUAGGUCCCACAUGUCAGAAAUGUACAAAUUAGACAGAUUAUUUUCGUAAGUGGCCCCAUUGUUCAGUUUCCAUUUCACAAGUUUUCAAAUCACAUACAUAAUCAAUAUUUCAAAAAGAACAAAGAACACAUAAAUUCAUCAAAUAUACCACUAAAUAAGUCUAUUACAAUCUUUACAACACAGAUAUGCUACAGUAUACUGCUGUUCACUCAGUAGGACUUCACGGCUUCACACUUCUAGACUUCACACUUCACACUUGAGCUUCUGUAAAAGAGGAACCACCGCAAUUUUAAGUCUACAAUACAACAAUUGAUAAUAAUCAAGGAUAAUAAAAAAACAAGUAAUAGGUUCAAAUGUGAAGGCAGCAUGUAACUAGUGAUACGACAACAUGCAGAAAACACUACAAUGUAAUACUGUUAAGUUCAUAUCAACACAACAAAUGAUAUGCCCCAGCACUGUUAUAUAAAGCAAAUGAUAUGCCCCCCUUUUAUCUAAGAGUGUAGUGUAUGCUAGUGACAGAACAAGAGAUUGUAGUGUAUGCUAGGUCUAGCAUUGGUUAAAAAUAACUAAUAAUCACAUGACGAAUCUGAAUGCAGCAUAUAAAAAGAACUAAUUCAUUUCAUUAGUGUGAGAUCUAACUGUUUGCCACUCGGUAGAUAACCUACCAGGGAGGCCUUGAUAUAAACAGGGGUACGUGUAAAUAUAUGUGUUCACAGGCUCGAAUACAUCGCCAGGAACUGUAAGUACAGAACAUGUAACAUGGUGGCUACAUAAACAGAACGAGAUGUGGCAUGCUUAAAAGCCCGAGCCCGUGCUAUGCCUAUAUAUAAUCAGGUGCAGCUUAAAUAUACGUGGGCACAUACUGAAAGGAACAAGAUAGCAUGAUGAUAUCCGAUCGACUAGAUUUGGGAGAAACCUGAUCGAGCCAACACAAAAAAGAAAUAGAGCAAGAUUUGAGCUGCACCUGCAGAGUGUUACUUAUGGUGGAACUGCAGGAGACUUGCUCGGAUUUAGUCAACACGAAUUGUAAGUGUAAAGUAGAUCAUCUUGGCUGUUACACACGAAAAGAAAAGACAGUGUGUUUUUUAGACUGCAUGAUCAACAAUAACAACAACAAAUGUACAGAAUGUUUAGGUACGCAAGCAUGCGUAGCAUGUAUUAAAAGUUCAAUCUGUUUGGUGGAAGGCACCAUUGAUCUCGUUCUCACAGCCAUACUUACACGAACACAUGCAGUUUUAAUUAAUUAAAUGAGCAGCCAACAAAGGCAAUUACGAAUCUUGGGGCAGGAGGUAGUGAGAGCAACUCAAAUGUACACUAGUAGAGGGAUCGUCAAGAUGUAGGGGAUGGAGGUGUCUCACUUGGUUUCAAAAUAAGAUGCACACAAGACAACCACAUAAAUAUAGCAGUGCAUAGUACUGACGAAACAGGGACAUCUUUUUGCCAACAUGUAUAAUUCGGAGUAGCAAUAGCGAGCAAAGGAAGAUGAGAGGGAGAUGGAGAAGCUCAGUGAUACGCUUCUCAUACAGAGCAAACCCAGCGACCUCCCUGAUCAAGUACAUGACGAAAUGCACCCUCUUGGUACCUUUCUGCAAACCAAAAUGGUAACCGGUCAGAACAAUGAGAAUGGAAAACUUAAACAGGAGUAAACAUCACAAUAAUAUGAAUUCUUACUACCACAAAGGAUCUAUUGCACUUGAGAAUGAAGGAAUUGUCACAUAUUCAACAAAUUCAGAAUCUAAACUGAAUUUCGUCUACCAAAUAAACUAGAAUGCCUCAAAUCCAGUCUGCUAAGAGUAUUUAUUUAUCUACACUACAUAGUCAAAGAAAUUUCAAAAGAAAGCCCAUGUUGUGAAAUCCAGGCAGCUAUAUGAAAUAUGUUGUUGGCACACAAGAUGGACAAUAUCUACUUCAGAGUUCUGCAGAAACUCUGAAGCCGACAUACUCAAGUCGAAAAUAGUCUGGAAGUGCAGACAGAGAUGUCAAAUGUGAAUCAAAUCAAAUCAGCCUUCCAUACAGUAAAACAAACAAACAGCUCUGUAUUGUGAUCUACUAGUAUUAACAAACAGUGAAAAUCUCACAUCAAUGAUCUUAGAGGUGUAUGUGAUACAGUAAAACAAACAAACAAACAGCUCUGUGUUGUGAUGUACUACUAGAAAUAUACUUGAAGGAAAUAAAACUGACUUGUAACUAAGGAUAUUCCAUGGAUAGGAGAGAUGCACCGAGUUAACAUGAUGGGAAUGUAGUGAAAUUUUGGACAAGAAUGACAGUAGGUCAAAAGUCAAAAGCCCAGCCUGAAACCCCAAACAUGUCCAAUAGAUCAAUGGUAGUCAAUAUAAGGUUAAAUUGCAGCUGGAAAUAAAUCGAAGUAUUGCAUCCGUGACAAGAAUAACAAACAGGCUAAGCUGACAAUAUCAGGAUGACAAGCUUCAACUUGUACUGUGAUUUUUGGACAAACAGAACUGCAUAACAGGGAAGAUAACUAGUACAAACCAUGAAAAAUUGAGAUGCCAUUUACAACCUUUUAAUAACUCAUGGAAUUUCGAAGACAAAAAAAAUCCUGCUGAAUGGCAUACAACCCUCAGCAACCAGUUUGCUCUCAAAACUGGUACAUGGAUUUUAGAUAAAGUAAAAAGACUAGUUGAGUGGUCACUCCAAAGAACAUAUUAAUUGUAUAAGUCAAGUAGUUGGCAAGAGCACAUUGAUCAAACAACUAAAAAGUUUCUCAAGCAAUGGCAGACCAAUGAAUGGUGGAUUGUUUGGGCAUGUCAAUCAUGGUGCUAAGAAUCCACGACUAGUUACUAACCUUUACAAGUGCUGCUCCCAGAUGAACAACAGCUGCUUUUACACUAGUGCGAAUCGUGUCAUACUCUGACCUGCAAAAGGUAGUAUGGGAAACUUAUUACUGCGUGUACACCAGUGUUUAAUGCAGCAGAUCAAUACCUCAUUUAUGGUUCUUAUUUCGACGCGUCGCACACGAUAGUAUGUGAAAGUUAUUAGUGGACUACACCCCUUAAACAUUGGUACUUAUCUUUUAACAAUCACACACUAACAGCUUUCAGUUCUCUAAUCUUGUGUGCUGUGAAAUUUUCUUCCAAUGUGCAUCAGUGAUAUCAAUUUUGAUAAGUCGUGAACCAAACAGUUCAGAAUCCUUUGACGAAUAUGGACUACAUUGUGAGAUUUUGUUGCAAUGUGCAUCGGUUGAAGAUUAAACCUGGACGUCUCCAAGGCUGGUGCCGACAGCGAGGUAGGAGCCCUCGCGCGUCCAGUGCACGGCGCAGACCCUGUCCCUCGGCCCCAGAUCGCACAGCUUGGUAACCUGGACAAUGGUGCCAUUAGCAAUCUGACCUGAGCGUGAUCCAUGGAUGCAACAAGAAGAUGCAAGAAAGAAAGAAAGAAAUGCACCUUGCAGCUGGAUGCGGACCAGAGGUAGACACAGGUGCUGAGGCCGACGGUGAGCAUGUUCUGCGAGGACCAGUCGACGAGGUUCAGGUAGAAGUCGUCCUGCAGGGACGGCGCGUCCAGCACCUGCACGCCAGCGACGACCACACACCAGUUAGUAGUAGAUCGGAGAUCAGAGAAUUCGGUGCGCGCGAGGUGUUUGCGGGAAUGGGCGGGCGGGCGGAUCGAACCUUGUGGGGCGUCUUGGGGACCUUGCGGGGCGCCUUCUUGGGGGUGGGGGAGCCGGCGCCGCCGGUGCAGUCCAGCUUCUCGGCGAAGGGGGAGAAGGGUGCGGAGGAGCGGUCCGUCUUGAAGCGGAAGAGGUUGUUGGAGCGUGCCCGGCGACGACCUGGCGGGUGGAGUCGUCGUGCCCGGCGACGGCCGCCUCCAUCCGAAUCCGACUGCGUGGGGAGCUAGCGGACGAGUGGUGCAGCGAUGGGAGGGGAAGCCGAGACCCCUCGCUUCCCCCACCGCGGCCUCCAUCGGGUGGGAGACGGAGGGAGACGAAGGCGGGGCGGCGGGGUGCCUCGAUCUGGAUCGAGGAGAGGGAGGCCGCGCGCUGGAUCUUGCCGGAGGGGAGGGAGGAGCAGAGCAUGGGGAUCUUGGAGCGCGCUGGAUCUUGCCGGNNNNNNNNNNNNNNNNNNNNNNNNNNNNNNNNNNNNNNNNNNNNNNNNNNNNNNNNNNNNNNNNNNNNNNNNNNNNNNNNNNNNNNNNNNNNNNNNNNNNNNNNNNNNNNNNNNNNNNNNNNNNNNNNNNNNNNNNNNNNNNNNNNNNNNNNNNNNNNNNNNNNNNNNNNNNNNNNNNNNNNNNNNNNNNNNNNNNNNNNNNNNNNNNNNNNNNNNNNNNNNNNNNNNNNNNNNNNNNNNNNNNNNNNNNNNNNNNNNNNNNNNNNNNNNNNNNNNNNNNNNNNNNNNNNNNNNNNNNNNNNNNNNNNNNNNNNNNNNNNNNNNNGGAGGGGAGGUGGGAGGGAUCGGGGAGCGCUAGGGUUUGCGGGGGAGGAGUGCAGGCUGUGGCCUGUGGGUUGUUGGGCUAGGUGGCGUGAGAAACGUGACGAGGGAGCGCUGCCAUUGGAUCCGGGUGGAUCGGACGGUGCUCGAUCCAUAAUCCGCGUGACAUGCCUCUGAACCAAUCAAAACAGAGUACAUGUGCGCGACGUCCAUGACCAUUUAAGUAGGUCGUAACCGGCUGAAAAUAAAGUGCACAUCUCUUUGGCUAAGAGAACUGACUCUUUUUGCACCGUCUUUCGGCGGUUCCCCUCUGCCGGUGACUUCUUGGUCGUCGGCGGUGAGGAGGGUCGUCGGAUCCCGCGCGUGUGGAUUAUUUUAGCUUUAGGUUUUAGGGUCCUAGUAGCUUAGGUUUUAGGGUCCUAGUAGCUUAGGUUUUUGGAUCAUCCGAUGUCUCGACUUCAGGGGCGGAGGCGGCAAUACUGAAUAAAGAAGCUCUGGAUUUUUAUCCGGCAAAGCCGCCAGCAAGGACCUCGGCACGUAGAAGAGCAGGGCAUCAAGGUGGUGGUCGCGAGCGCGGAGUUCGUCGUCGUCACCUUCGUGGUGACCGAAGACACGUAGUCAUACCCGCCGUUUUGACAACAUUUUGAAAGAAAUUCAAAAAACAAUGUUCUCAUAUUGUGCACAAGGGUGCAUAGUAGAAUGGAAAACAAUGUUUCCUAAGGAAGUUUUCAUUUCUUUUGGACGAAAAAAUCAUUUUCCAUUUUUUGAGUGCCCGAAAGGAGGUUUUUUUUGAAGGACCUCCCAAAUAAUUGUUGCAAAAUUGGACCAAAUCAUUUUUCUAAAAUACUAGGCCAUAUUUAAUGCACAAUUGACCAAAUGGUUGGGUGUAAAAAGUUUUAAUCCACCUCUCGUGAAAAAGACAAAUUUCCGCCGAUUCAGCUGGAAGCGUGUCAAAUUUGAACUGCAGCUGCCUCAUAGUUUGCUAUUUAUUGUUUUCCAAAAAUCAUUUAUAGGUACAUAAGGACAUAUUUAAUCAGAGAAACACCAAAAAAAUUCCAAGAUUCAACCACUAGCUAGGAACGGUCAUUCCCGCCGUUUUGACCGCAUUUCGAAACGGGCAUAAAAAAUUCAAAAAAAAAUCAAAAAAUUGGGAAACCUUCGCAUUGUGUCAUCAUAUGUGGCCAAGUUCCCAGGAAAAAUAACAAACUUGUAAUACGGUAAUUAUUUUAAAAAAGUGUUCUCAGAAACGAGCUAUCAUGUGUGGAGAUCAAUGGCUUUCAAGCCAAAUGACCAAUCUUAUGGCCACAUUCAUGGCAUAGUUUGUACAAAUGAUAUCAUAUUGUGCACAAGGGUCCAUAUUGGAAUGGCAAACAAUGUUGCCUAAGAAAGUUUUCAUUUUCUUUGGACGAAAAAAUCAUUUUCCAUUUUUCGAGUGCCUGAAAUGAGGUUUUAUUGUGAAGGACCUACCAAAUAAUUGUUGCAAAAUUGGACCAAAUAAAUUUUAUAAAAUACUAGGACAUAUUUAAUGCACAAUUGACAAAAUGGUUGGGUGUCAAAAGUUUUGAUCCACCUCUGGUGAAAAAGACAAAUUUCUGACGAUUCAGUUGGAAGCGGGUCAAAUUUGAACUGCAGCUGCCUCAUAGUUUGCUAUUUAUUUUUUCCAAAAAUCAUUUCUAGGUACAUAAGUAUCUACUUAAUCAGAGAAACACCAAAAAAAUUCCAAUAUUCAACCACUAGCUAGGAACGGUCAAGCCCGCCGUUUUGACCGCAUUUUGAAACGGGCAUAAAAAAUUCAAAAAAAAUCAAAAAAUUGGAAAACCUUCGCAUUGUGUCAUUAUAUGUGAACAAGUUUCCAGGAAAAAUAAUAAAUUGUAAUACAGUAAUUAUUUUAAAAAAAUGUUCUCAGAAAUGAGCUAUCAAGUGUGAAGAUUCAUGGCUUUUCAAGCCAAAUGAUCAAUCUUAUGGCCGCAUUCAUGGCAUAGUUUGUUCAAAUGAUCUCAUAUUGUGCACAAGGGUGCAUAUUGGAAUGGCAAACAAUGUUGCGUAAGGUAGUUUUCAUUUUCGUUGGACCAAAAAACCAUUUUCCAUUUUUCGAGUGCCCGAAAGGAGGUUUUUUUGUGAAGGAACUACCAAAUAAUUGUUGCAAAAUUGGACCAAAUCAAUUUUCUAAAAUACUAGGACAUAUUUAAUGCACAAUUGACAAAAUGGUUGGGUUUAAAAAGUUUUGAUCCACCUCUCGUGAAAAAGACAAAUUUCCGCCGAUUCAGUUGGAAGCGGGUCAAAUUUGAACUGCAGCUGCCUCAUAGUUUGCUAUUUAUUUUUUUAAAAAAUAAUUUCUAGGUACAUAAGUAUCUAUUUAAUCAGAGAAGCACCAAAAGUUUUCCAAGAUUCAACCACUAGCUAGGAACGGUCAAGCCCGCCGUUUUGACCGCAUUUUGAAACGGGCAUCGACAUCCCAUGUGGAGUUAUCCGCAAGGGAGCCCUUCCCCCUCUUGGGCGCCUUCGCCUCCAGAUUCGUGGAAGCCCCCCUUUCUUCCUUCCCCCUCAGGGGGGAGCCGCCUUCUUCCUCCUCCUCGCUGUCGUCUUCGGUGGCCGAAGAGUCAGUCUCGUCUUCGGACGACAUGUCCGAAGCACCCUUUGGGCGAAGGCCACUCCCGGUCCCUUUGGCCGUACUAUUGGCCUUCUUCUCCGGCACAUCAUAAGGCGUCGGAAACAACAUCUUUGUCAGGAGUGGAGUCUCCUCAUCUUCGGGUAGCAGAGCGGGACAAUUAAUCCGCCCCGUUAUGUCGGUCUAGGCCUAAAAGAAAUUGAUAGGAAGGCUUAGACUGCUUCCUCAAAAUAUGCCAGUAAAAGUUAUACCUUGAAAACAUGAAAAAGCUUACCAAUUAGCUUGGCGCUUUAAGCUAAGCCCACGAUCCACGGUCAUAGGCGGUGGUGUCUCGCCAGCCUUGAAGAGCACUUUCCAAAUGUCUUCGUGCGUCGUGCCGAAGAGCUCUAGCAGCGUCUGGUGCUUGGCCGGAUCGAACUCCCACAAAUAGCAGGUCCGGCGUUGGCACGGAAGCAUCUGGCGGAUGAGCAUAACCUGGAUCACAUUGACAAGUUUGAUCUUCUUGGUUAUCAUGUUCUGGACGCACGUCUGGAGCCCAGUCAGCUCAUUCGAAGAUCCCCAGGACAUGCCCUUCUCUUGCCAGGAGGUGAGCCGCAUCGGAACUCUGGAUCGAAAUUCGGGGGCCACCGCCCAGUUGGUAUUGCGCGACUCGGUGAUGUAGAAUCACCCCAAUUGCCAUCCUUUCACCAUCUCCAUGAAGGAGCCUUCGAGCCAGGUGAUAUUGGGCAUCUUGCCCACCAUGGCACCUCCGCACUCUGCUUGUUGGCCGCUCACCACCUUCGGCUUCACGUUGAAAGUCUUCAGCCAUAGGCUGAAGUGAGGCGGGAUGCGGAGAAAGGCCUCGCAUACGACUAUAAAUGCCGAGAUGUUGAGGAUGAAGUUGGAGGCUACAUCAUCGAAGUCCAGCCCGUAGUAAAACAUCAGUCCGCGGACAAACGGGUGGAGAGGGAAUCCCAGCCCGUGGACGAAAUGCGCGAGGAACACCACCCUCACAUGAGGCUCGGGGGUAGGGACGACUUGUCCCUUGGCCGGGAGUCGGUGAACGAUCUCCUUGGCCAGGUAUCCGGCCUCUCGGAGCUCCUUGAUAUCUCUCUUCUUAAUGGAGGAGGCCAUCCACUUGCCCCCAGCUCCGGAUCCGGACAUGGUUGGAGUGCUUUCUCAGGCGAGGAAAGCUAGAGCUUGGGCGCUAAAGCUCAAGAAUGGAGGGGCAAAGGAAGGAGAAGGCGUGGGUGAAUGAACACGGAUCCUUACCCCUUUAAAAAGGCCGCGAAUUUUAAACGCCUCCCCACUCGCCUUAAAACUCGCCUAUUCCCAAGGGCUGUGUAAACGGCACGGUUGGGUUGCCCGCGCCCGUAUUGACGAGGAUCCUGCAAUAAGGGGACACGAUCUCUGCUUUGACAAGACGUGCCAAUGGCAACCGUGUCUCGAGAUGUGGAGCGGCAGACGAAAAACUGUUUGAAAUUACGACCGGACAGAUAUGAUGUCAUGUUGCAAAAAGUUGUCAAUAGAUUGGGCUCGUGUAAAAUUAUAUUCUCUGUGCGGUUGUGUGUCGUGUAUGUGUUACAGGUCUGGACAUGUCGACGCGUCCGAAGACUAUCCUGGAGUUCGGAAAGGGGAACCCGCCUUGCAAUGCCGAAGACAAAUCUGCGCGCCAGACUCCUCGUCAUUGAAGCCAGGUUCAGGGGCUACUAUGGGAGUCCUGGAUUAAGGGGUCCUCGGGCGUCCGGCCUGCUAUCCAUGGGCCGGACUAAUAGGCUGUGAAGAUACGAGGACCGAAGACUGCACCCAUGUCCAGAUGGCACUCUCCUUGGCGUGGAAGGCAAACUUGGCGACCGAAUAGGUAGAUUCCUUUCUUUUUAACCGACCUUGUGUAACCCGAGAUCCUCCCGGUGUCUAUAUAAACCGGAGGACUUAGUCCGGAAAGACAGAUACUCAUUACUAUAGUCAUACAGGCUAGACUUCUAGGGUUUAGCCAUUACGAUCUCGUGGUAGAUCAACUCUUGUAAUACUAAUAUCCAUCAAGAUCAAUCAAGCAGGAAGUAGGGUAUUACCUCCAUAGAGAGGGCCCGAACCUGGGUAAACAUCGUGUCCCCUGUCUCCCAUUAUCAUCGACCUUAGACGCACAGUUCGGGACCCCCUACCCGAGAUCCACCGGUUUUGACACCGACACCGGUGGCGACACAUGGAGCUAGCGGCGGUGCCUGGGAAUAGAUUUUUGACAUGUGUUCACUGAUGCUCUUGAGAAGCAUGUCCACCUUGUAGCCAACUCUGGUGAGCUCCUCGAUGUUGAGGCCAACAUGGCAUGAGUGGUCGCCAUGCAUGGUUUUGUGAAGGAGGUACCUGAUCUCGCCGUCCUCGCACUAGUGGCGGGUCUUGUUGACCUGGUCCCGGAGCUUGUCAAUGCACUUGGUGAUGAAGCCCUCCUGGUUCAUCACCUCCUUGCACUGCCCCAUUUUCGGCAUGCUUUUGAAUUGAUUCAGGAUAUCCACCGCCUCGACCUGGGAAGGGAACACCUCCGGCGCCGCCUUGCCCUUGCCGUACACCAGUAUGCAGGUCUUAGCAUCGCACAUGAUGGCUAGUUCGUCCGCCUUCUUCAUCAGGCCCUUGAGGUGCUUCUUGAAUCUAUUGCGCCGGUUCAAGUCGUGGGGGAUGUAUUGGAGGGUCACGUUGCGAGCCAUUGCUGGCAAGAGGAUAAAACCAGUGAAGGAAAAGAAAGUUGCUGGUUUCGACGAGGGAGGAGGGGUGGAUUUAUAAUGGAGGGAUCACCGUGAUUUGGUAAGAGUUUAUUGUGACAGGUACGAAGAAGAUUGCCUUAUUUAGUACUUGUGAACACGAUCGAAUAUCUAGAAGAUCUCCCAUCUGUAAAUUUGCCGUCAAUUUAAACUUACUAACUUGGACGCGAUAGCACAUUACCGUUCCCCCAUAUGACGGGAGCGAGACAUAUCAUACGCGUGCUAAUGGUUUCCCCGUGAUGUGUCUGCUCGCGCUGGAACGCUUCACACGCGACACAAUGAUAACCUUCUUAGCCCAUCAAGCCAUGCAAAUGAAUGGACCGAACACAAGUGUUGCUCCUAUCGGUCAAGCCCAUAUAGACACUAAUUUUGUACGAAACAAAUAAAAAUACCAACGCAAAAACCUCAUCGCUGGAAGGAACAAAGAAAGCUUGGAGGAAAAAUAAAAAAUAAAUAGGCUCAAAUCCUAUUGCACUAACUCUCAUACUACUAUGAUUUUCAAAGUAUUCGACCAACUGGCUAACCAAAAAAUGAGGCCAGAAAAUACAUGAAAAGGAAAGUAUCCAUUCAUCUAUCAAAAGGUUGCCAUGUUUGAUUAGUUGUGGUUGACUAAGAUGAGAUAAACAAAACAAGAUAAGUUGCCAUGCUUUGUGCGCCACAAAAGAACAUAGAAAACAAAUGCAAAAGGUUGAAUUACUUUGAUAGUAAAACUGCGACAUAUCAAACAACACACACGGCACUCACCUCUUUGAACACACACAUGCUAGUGCUUUGCAUAUGAGCACUUCUAAAUACCGAGCCGUGACAACAUCUAACUACUAUAGAUUUGGAAGCACUUUUACCCCUCAUCAUUGAUGGGCCACUAACCACGCAUCGGUGAUGAGCAUUAUCAUUGACCGGUCGACUCAGGCGCAUCAAUGAUAAACUUUUUGGGGCUUAGCAGAAUUCUUAUCCCAGGCUGGUCUAAAAAUGACCAGCCUCUGAUAAUUGGAUAAAGGGCAUUUGGUCUAGUGGUAUGAUUCUUGCUUAGGGUGCGAGAGGUCCCAAGUUCAAUUCUCAGAAUGCCCCCAGCUUUUUGUUUUUUUCUCUUUACUUUUUUGACCAUUUUACCACGUAUAGCAGAAUUUCUUUCAUAUAGCUAGCGAACUAUAGAUGUCAUGAAAAUAAAUCGGUGUAAAGUAGCGUUGCAUUCAGAGAUAUAGUCCAAUGUCGGAAUCAUCUUCUUCGUCGGAGCUGUUUCAAGGGCCUUUUCCCUCCUCAAUUAUAAGUAGUACAUCAUCAAGUCACACUUUGACUUCCAACAAAGUUAAAACAUCACUCUGAUAAAUAAAUAAAACGACCACCCGAUCUUCAUAAGCAUUGAACGGGACUCGAUCAUAUGGCAGUAAUUAAUCCUUCCAGCAACGCCGAGUGACCAACAAUAUUAUUCAUGUUUAGUGCCAAAGCAUAUAUAUAUAUAUAUAUAUAUAUAUAUAUAUAUAUAUAUAUAGUUUCUGAAUCUAGCUAUUGGAAUAGGUGUAUACAGUCACUACCAUCAAGCAACCUGGAAAAAUAGGGCGAACGCCUUAUGAAUCACAGCAAGGGCUAGUUAAUGCUUCCAUUUCAUGAGAAGAAGAAAAAAAUCAUCAAGCAAAACCAGUCUGAAAUAGUAAACCAGCUUAGAUAAAUACCCACAAAGAGCAUAAAAAAACUCCAGGUCCACUGGUCUUUUCAGUUACCAUGGCACAUCAACCAGCGAUGUGUAUCCUCAUUAGGACAAAAGCAUCUUAUUUAUCGUCCAAUGCUUCACCUUCGCCAUGCCCAUCAGCGAUGCCUGCCAUUGCCUAUGCACAAACAUGUAUAACUAGCUAGUCAGUAACCAAGAAGCAACUGAUACACGAAGGGGUUUACGGCAGGGCAGUUUAUUAGAUGAACCGUGGCAGGUGCCUAGUUAUUUAUCAACUUGGAAAAGUUGCUCGCUUCGGUGCCAGAUUUUGGAAUAGAUAAACAUAAAUGCAUUCAACUCGUGAAUGAACAGCGCUAACUCGUUUUGGUACUCCACAAAAUAGCAUGCUCGCCCACCUCGCAGAAGCACCCAUGAAUAUAUUUUUUUGAAUAUGUCGGUGACAGACUAACAAUAGAUCGGUAGAAGCAGUAGUUGUUAUAGAGCAAGAUGGACAGUGUUUGAGUAUAUGUGUUAUGUGUAUAUUGUGUAUUGGGCCUGCCUCCUAAUUUCUUAUAUAUUUGAGAUCCGUGGCUCACCUUUAGUCUAUGCUCGAAAGCAAUACAUCGUACAGUUCUCACAACAUACAUGGUAUCAAUUUCCUAGGUUUUCUUUUUCGCUUUCGCCGCUGCCGCCACCGUCGCUCGCGCGCCCUCCAUGCCCGCAGCCGCCCGCGCCCCGAGCCAGCCGCUAUCCAUUCAUCCUCCCGCGUGCCUGCCAAAACACGUAGUGCAAGUUAUCUAGACAAGCAAACAGGCACCUUAAUGGAUUCUGGACGUACGUACGAGCACGUUUGUGUGUAGCCGGCGAUUGUCUUGAUCGAGCCGCAGAGCCGCUACGCUGCGUGCCCGCAUCGCUGCUGCCGCCCGCUUGCAUCGCUGGUGCCUGCCCGUCCGCAUCGCAUCGCAAGCCACCGCUGCUGCACGCCUCGUCCGCCCAGCCGCCACGCAUCGCCAGAUCGCUGCUACCGCCGCGUAUCGCCCGUAGCCGCGCGCAUGCUAUUCGCUAGCCGCCGCCGCUCCGUUUUUUGGCUUCUCCGCCGCUGCUUUCCCUGGACGGCGUCUUCAUGGCUGCCAUUGCUUCGGUCUCCGUCGUGUCACCGUCGCCGGUCUUCGGCGACUCCGCCGCUCAGCCGCCAGUGGGCUUCUACAGCGCCGCCGCCCUGUCUACACCGUACGGCGCCACUCCAUCCAUCAGUCAUCCGGGUGCUGUUCCAUUUCCGUAUGAAGUCCCGUCUGCAGGCUUCUACGGCGCCGCUCCUUAUACGCAUCACCAGGAUGCUGCCCCGUAUCUCCAUCAGCAAUCAGGCUUGGGUGGCGUUCCGACUUGUCGCACGGCUCAGCUUCCGCUGCCCCUGCUGGCGUACGUCGCCGCCCCAUUGCUGGCACUCUCCGGCUAGUCCGUCGUCGCCCUGCCGCCGGCGUUGACCCUGUCCGUCGACCUCUUGCUGUUGCACGGGGCGUUCGAUGCGUCCGUGUACAGGGCUUUGCAUCUGUCAGCGGGCUAGUAGGUUUUUCCGGCAGGCCAUCCAGCCUAUCCGGCAUCACAGUCGCAGCCAGGCCUACUUCCCAUACCUUCUGGAGAGUACCCACCGCCGCUGCUGAGCGGUGGCUACGGCCUCCCCAUGGCGUCUCCGCCCCCCUCGCCGGCCCUGCCGCCGGCGCCCUGGGACCCGGUGCUCCUUCCCACACUGCAUACCACUCCUACGCCGAACAACUCUACCGAAGGUGAUGAUUGGUACAUGGACACCGGGGCUACGACUCACAGGUUUGCUCAUCUUGGUAAUCUUGCCUCCUUCACUCCCGUCACCACCGACCACCGCAUCAUUGUCGGCGACGGUUUCACACUCCCUAUCACACAUGUCGGGUACACUUUUUUUCUUUCCAAUUCCAUGCCUAUUACUUUGUCUAAUAUAUUUGUGUCACCUCAUCUUAUUAAGAACCUUGUUUCCGUUUGUCGUUUAACUCGUGAAAAUCAUGUUACUGUUGAAUUUGACGAGCUUGAGUUUUGUGUCAAGGACGCUCGAAUUAGGAUGAUACUUCACCGAUGUGACAGUUUCGACGAGCUCUAUCCGGUGCAUUCGCCGUCCACCUCCAUCACCACACCGGUUGCUCUCUCCGCCGACGUCGAUCUCUGGCACGCUCGUUUGGGUCAUUCCAACCCCGUCACACUUCGUCAUAUUCUUAGGAGUUUCAGUUUCAGUUGACAUAAGAUAGAGGAUCACACCUGUCAUGCCUGUCGUGUCAGCAAACAUGUUCGCCUCCCGUUUAAUAACUCCACCACCAUCGCUUCUUUUCCUUUUUAGUUGAUUCAUAGCGAUUGUGGACCUCUCCGGUUCCUAGUAAUUCAGGCUAUUUAUACUAUCUAGUUAUUCUUGAUGAUUAUUCUCAUUAUGUGUGGACUUUUCCUUUACGCAGAAAGUCGGAUGCACUCUCCACUUUGACGGCUUUUUACUCCUAUGUCAGCAUGCAGUUUGGGCGCCCCAUCCUUGCUCUUCAGACUGACAAUAGAAAAGAGUUCGACAACCUUGCUUUCCACACUUUUCUAUCGCAUCACGGCAUAGUUUUUUUUAUCUCACAUGCCCGUAUACUUCCCAGCAGAACGGUCGAGCCGAACGCGUCCUUCGCACCCUGAACGACUGCGUUCGCACGCUCCUGUUUCAUGCUAACGUGCCGCCUCGUUUCUGGCCGGACGCACUCGCUACUGCUUCUCUUCUCCUUAACCUUCGCCCAUGCUGCCCACGGUGGAACUAUGCACCUCACCAUCUUCUCUUCGGUACGCCCCCAUCUUAUGAUGGCUUGCGUAUUUUUAGGUGCCUUUGCUAUCCUAGCAUUGCCGAUUUCACUCCUCACAAACUUGCACCUCGUUCUGUCGCUUGCAUCUUUAUCGGCUACCCCUCCAACUCCAAGGAUAUCGGUGCUACGAUCCCGUCUCCCACCGUGUGUUCACUUCCCGACACGUUUACUUUGACGAGCAUGUGUUUUCAUUUCACCAGGUACCCCCGGCUGUUACUACCACCACCGGUGACGUGGGCUCCUCGACGCCUCACCCAGGGCGCUCGCGCGCCUCUCUUGGCCCGCCCAUGGCUUUGAGGCGUGCCCCUCGCAUGCGGCGCCUCCUCGAGCCGCGGCACUGGCGCCCCCGGCCCCCUCGGAGCCCGCGCCCCCCUCGGCCCCCUCGGCGCCCCCGGCGCCUGCGGCCCCCUUGGCACUCCCGGUGCAUGUGGCCGGUCCGGUCACCCGCGCCCGUACGGGCGUUUUUUGCCUGAGCUCGCGCUACGCCUCGGAUGACUACGUCCAUGCAGCGUCCACCUCUCAGUCGUCGCCGUCCUUCGUUUGAGCCGCUCUUCGUGACCCGGUCUAGAUGGCUGAGAUGCAAGAGGAGUUCGACGCCCUGUUGCGCAACUGGACGUAGCAGCUUGUUCCCCGUCCCCGGCACGCCAACGUGAUUACCGGGAAGUGGGUCUUUAAACACAAGCUUCGUCCUGAUGGUACCCUUGAUCGCUACAAAGCGCGCUGGGUCGUUCGUGGCUUCUGACAACGUGCUGGCAUCGACUUCACCGACACCAUCGCUCCGGUCGUCAAGCCCGGCACGAUACACACGGUUCUCCACCUUGCGGUCUCCCGUGCUUGGCCGAUGUACCAGAUGAACGUCUCCAACGCCUUCCUCCAUGGUCACCUCGAGGAGCAGGUCUUCUGCUAGCAGCCCACUGGGUUUGUUGACCCGGCGCUUCCCGACCAUGUGUGCCUACUUUCGCGGUCCGUGUACGGACUCAAGCAGGCUCCGCGCGCUUGGUACCAGUGCAUCGUGGCGUUUCUCCACCAGCUUGGGUUCCGCUCUACCCGCUCGGAUGCCUCGCUCUUCGUCUAUCAUCAAGGCUCUGACACGGCCUACUUGCUGCUCUAUGUCGACGACAUCAUCCUGACGGCAUGUAUGGCUGGUCUCCACAGUCAGAUCACGGCUUGUCUUCGCGCUGAGUUCGCCAUCAAGGACUUGGGUCCUUUGCACUACUUCCUCGGUGUCGAGGUGGUGCGCCGUCCGGAUGGCUUCUUCCUUCAUUAGCGGAAGUACGCUCAUGAGCUCCUGGAGCGCGCCGGCAUGCUUAACUGCAAGCCCGCCGCUACCCCUGUUGAUACGAAGGCCAAGCUUUCUGCCACGGACGGUUCUCCUGCUUCAGAUGCUGCUUUCUAUAGGUCUAUCGUUGGUGCUCUUCAGUACCUCACCCUGACUCGACCGGAGAUCCAGUAUGCCGUGCAGCAGGUGUUUCUUCAUAUGCAUGCUACUCGAGACGUUCACCGGGCUGCCGCCAAGCGGAUUCUCCGCUAUAUCUGUGGCACUAUGGAUCUUGGCGUCACGCUUCACGCCUCCGCUGACACUGCCCUCACCGCCUACUCCUAUGCAGACUGGGCGGGCUGCCCUGACACUCGUCGCUCCACUUCGGGCUAUUGUGUCUACCUUGGACCCUCACUUAUCUCGUGGUCGUCCAAGCGGCAGCCUACAGUCUCUCGUUCCAGUGCUGAGGCUGAGUAUCGUGCGGUGGCCAACGCCGUCGCCGAGUGUUCGUGGCUUCGCCAGCUGCUUCAGGAGCUCUCUUGUCCUAUUGACCGUGCCACGAUGGUCUACUGCGACAACGUCUUGGCGGUCUACCUCUUCGCCAACCUAGUGCAUCAUCGACAGACCAAGCAUAUUGAGUUGGAUAUUCAUUUUGUUCGGGAACAGGUGGCCCUUGGCCAUAUUCAUGUUUUACACAUCCCUACUUCCCAACAAUUUACCGAUAUCAUUGACCAAUGGCUUUCUUACGGCGUCAUUUGAGGAGUUCCGGUCCAGUCUUUGCGUCAGNNNNNNNNNNNNNNNNNNNNNNNNNNNNNNNNNNNNNNNNNNNNNNNNNNNNNNNNNNNNNNNNNNNNNNNNNNNNNNNNNNNNNNNNNNNNNNNNNNNNNNNNNNNNNNNNNNNNNNNNNNNNNNNNNNNNNNNNNNNNNNNNNNNNNNNNNNNNNNNNNNNNNNNNNNNNNNNNNNNNNNNNNNNNNNNNNNNNNNNNNNNNNNNNNNNNNNNNNNNNNNNNNNNNNNNNNNNNNNNNNNNNNNNNNNNNNNNNNNNNNNNNNNNNNNNNNNNNNNNNNNNNNNNNNNNNNNNNNNNNNNNNNNNNNNNNNNNNNNNNNNNNNNNNNNNNNNNNNNNNNNNNNNNNNNNNNNNNNNNNNGUGGAUUUGUGUAUUGGGCCCGCCUCCUAGUUCCUUGUAUAGUUGAGGUCCGUGGCCCACCUUUGUACAUCAUAUAUACAUGCCUAUGCACGAGAGCAAUACAUCGUGCAAUUCCCACAACAUACAGACGGAGGAAAAAGGCCCCCAUCAAUCAAAUAAGCUUAUAAAGGUACCUUCCCCAAUGCCCAUAGGCCAUCAACAAUGCCAUUGCCUAGCCAUGAACAUAAUUAGUCCGUAUUUUGAUGAAAAGAAAUCAAAACAGGAAGGAAGGAAGGAAGGGAUUAUAGGACAGCUUAGAUUUAGAAACUACACUUGAGAAAAGUUACUUGCUUCGGUACCAGAAUAGGAGUAGAUAAGCAAAAACUUGCACCCAAGUCGCAAAUACAGGGCAUUCAUAUGUGCUCAGAACAUAAGUUUCAGCUUCGCAGACUAACUCAUUUUGGUACUCCACAUCCACCUCACAACAAUACCCAUGGAAAUUUUCAUGUACUAGACAUAAGUUUCCAACUUAUACUACAUAUAUCCACAUAAGAAUACCAACUUAUGCGUAUGGUUGCUAAACAAGAACAAUGCCCUUGAGUGAUCCUUAAAGAGUUCAUCCGGAAACAAACAAUUGAAACAACAUGCACUAAAAUGAUAAUUUAAGUCUCAUGGAUUAGCUGUGAAUGCCCUGUAAUGUAUUUAAGACGCACAUCUACACUCUGCACAUUAGACUUUGUACUUUGUGGGUUAGUAUGAAUGUUUUUGCGCACCUAUGAUGAGGUGUUAUGAACUUAUGAUUGAUGGCACAAAACAGGAACCUCGACACACUUCUCGCGAGGUAGGCGCUCAGAACCCAUGCCUUCAAGAGGGACUAAAGAAUUAUCAAGAUGGAGGUGAUGGUGGUGGCAGCAAGCAAAGCGAAGUCGAGCUGAAGGAGGAGCAGAAGGUGUGCACGGAGGCUAACCGGCUCAAGGCGCUUGAGAGGGCGGCAACUGCCUGAUAACGAAACUGCCACCUAUGCGCGUGGAGGAUCCUGAACCACCUAGGCACAAGUCUAGAAAAUUUAGAACAGCUGGCAAAUUUGUGGGCAAGGUAGAGAAACCUGAAGCUCUGGAAGUUGAUGUUUGUAUGAUAUCCAUCUCUAUUAUAGCCAGUCCUCAUUUGCACAAAACAUCCAUGCUUAGUGCGCAAGAAACUCAAUCAUCCAUGAACUCAUCGGAAGCAUCUUAACCAAAUAAAUUAACAAACUCAUCGACUCAUGCAGAUAAAAGCUAGUUCAUCUAGACUGAUUAAAAGGGGGAACAUAAACCGAAGUCUUCCAAUACAAACAUCAGUACAUAAUAUAAACCAGAGUCUUAGACCUCAGUGUUGGUCAAACUCAACUUGCUGACAGCAUAUCCUGCUUACAUUCAUGCUAAUACAGACAUAUCAAACCACAUCAGCACAAUCUUGAACAUCCCCCAUCCAACC
rnacentral:lncRNA from 1 species